GGUGUUCUGCGCCUCUCGACAGGAAAUAACAUAUUCCUGAGACCUUAGUGAUUUCCAAGGGAGCUGUCCCUGAUUAAGCUCGUGGGCUUUUUCAUAUGGCGCCCACCUAUUUAUAUAGGUUCCCAGGGAUCAACUUUUUCCAUCGGUUGUUGUGGAUCACCA
rnacentral:other from 11 species